rnacentral:rRNA from 1 species
CAGUAGCCGCGGGAAUACGGAGGGGGCUAGCGUUGUUCGGAAUUACUGGGCGUAAAGCGCACGUAGGCGGCUAUGUAAGUUAGAGGUGAAAGCCCGGAGCUCAACUCCGGAAUUGCCUUUAAGACUGCCGAGCUAGCAGGUGAGAGAGGUAAGUGGAAUUCCGAGUGUAGAGGUGAAAUUCGUAGAUAUUCGGAAGAACACCAGUGGCGAAGGCGGCUUACUGGCUCAUACUGGACGCUGAGGUGCGAAAGCGUGGGGAGCAAACAGGAUUAGAUACCCGGGUAGUCCCUGUCUCUUAUAC